rnacentral:rRNA from 1 species
GACGAACGCUGGCGGCGUGCUUAACACAUGCAAGUCGAACGCUGAAGCUCAGCUUUUGUUGGGUGGAUGAGUGGCGAACGGGUGAGUAACACGUGAGUAACCUGCCCCCUUCUUUGGGAUAACGCCCGGAAACGGGUGCUAAUACUGGAUAUUCACUGGUCUUCGCAUGGGGGUUGGUGGAAAGGGUUUUUCUGGUGGGGGAUGGGCUCGCGGCCUAUCAGCUUGUUGGUGGGGUGAUGGCCUACCAAGGCUUUGACGGGUAGCCGGCCUGAGAGGGUGACCGGUCACAGUGGGACUGAGAUACGGCCCAGACUCCUACGGGAGGCAGCAGUGGGGAAUAAUGCACAAUGGGCGCAAGCCUGAUGCAGCGACGCCGCGUGAGGGAUGGAGGCCUUCGGGUUGUGAACCUCUUUCGCUCAUGGUCAAGCCGCAACAAUGGUUGUGGUGAGGGUAGUGGGUAAAGAAGCGCCGGCUAACUACGUG